rnacentral:rRNA from 1 species
UGGGGAAUAUUGCACAAUGGGCGCAAGCCUGAUGCAGCGACGCCGCGUGAGGGAUGACGGCCUUCGGGUUGUAAACCUCUUUCAGCAGGGAAGAAGCGCAAGUGACGGUACCUGCAGAAGAAGCGCCGGCUAACUACGUGCCAGCAGCCGCGGUAAUACGUAGGGCGCAAGCGUUGUCCGGAAUUAUUGGGCGUAAAGAGCUCGUAGGCGGUUUGUCGCGUCUGCUGUGAAAACGCGAGGCUCAACCUCGCGCCUGCAGUGGGUACGGGCAUACUAGAGUGCGGUAGGGGAGACUGGAAUUCCUGGUGUAGCGGUGGAAUGCGCAGAUAUCAGGAGGAACACCGGUGGCGAAGGCGGGUCUCUGGGCCGUAACUGACGCUGAGGAGCGAAAGCAUGGGGAGCGAACA